rnacentral:lncRNA from 1 species
CAGGGGUUCAGGGGGUCUUCCAAGAGUGAGAACUUUUGUGAGGGAGAACUUCAUAUGAAAGAAAAAUUGGGUGUAUGAGGAUUGAGGGUGAGACCUCCUCUUGUAAAAUUUUUUUUCAUAGUGAAGUUUGCAUACCUCGUGGAGGCGAGCUCUUUUGUGACUGAUCCACAUAUUUUAAUUAUUUUUAUUUUAUUUCUUCUUUCUUCCUGCUGCAUCGCAUGGUACUGAAAGGAUCCUGAAAGGUGGUGCCCUGGCC